CGCGGCCUAUCAGCUUGUUGGUGGGGUAACGGCCCACCAAGGCUUCGACGGGUAGCCGGCCUGAGAGGGCGACCGGCCACACUGGGACUGAGACACGGCCCAGACUCCUACGGGAGGCAGCAGUGGGGAAUAUUGCACAAUGGGCGAAAGCCUGAUGCAGCGACGCCGCGUGAGGGAUGACGGCCUUCGGGUUGUAAACCUCUUUCAGCAGGGACGAAGCGAAAGUGACGGUACCUGCAGAAGAAGCACCGGCCAACUACGUGCCAGCAGCCGCGGUAAUACGUAGGGUGCAAGCGUUGUCCGGAAUUAUUGGGCGUAAAGAGCUCGUAGGCGGCUUGUUGCGUCGGCUGUGAAAACCUGGGGCUCAACCCCGGGCCUGCAGCCGAUACGGGCAAGCUAGAAUUCGGUAGGGGAGACUGGAAUUCCUGGUGUAGCGGUGAAAUGCGCAGAUAUCAGGAGGAACACCGGUGGCGAAGGCGGGUCUCUGGGCCGACAUUGACGCUGAGGAGCGAAAGCGUGGGGAGCGAACAGGAUUAGAUACCCUGGUAGUCCACGCCGUAAACGUUGGGCGCUAGGUGUGGGCCACAUUCCACGUGGUCUGUGCCGCAGCUAACGCAUUAAGCGCCCCGCCUGGGGAGUACGG
rnacentral:rRNA from 1 species